UACGUAGGGUGCGAGCGUUAAUCGGAAUUACUGGGCGUAAAGCGUGCGCAGGCGGUUUUGUAAGCCAGAUGUGAAAUCCCCGGGCUUAACCUGGGAAUGGCAUUUGGGACUGCAAGGCUUGAGUGCGGCAGAGGAGACUGGAAUUCCUGGUGUAGCAGUGAAAUGCGUAGAUAUCAGGAGGAACACCGAUGGCGAAGGCAGGUCUCUGGGCUGACACUGACGCUCAUGCACGAAAGCGUGGGAGC
rnacentral:rRNA from 1 species